UCGUUUUGGAAAAUCCUUCGGGAUUGGAAUUCUCGACUUAGUGGCGGACGGGUGAGUAACGCGUGGGUAACCUGCCCUGUACUGGGGGAUAACAGUUGGAAACGACUGCUAAUACCGCAUAAGCGCACGGUAUCGCAUGAUACAGUGUGAAAAACUCCGGUGGUAUAAGAUGGACCCGCGUCUGAUUAGCUUGUUGGUGAGGUAACGGCCCACCAAGGCGACGAUCAGUAGCCGGACUGAGAGGUUGAACGGCCACAUUGGGACUGAGAUACGGCCCAGACUCC
rnacentral:rRNA from 1 species